rnacentral:rRNA from 1 species
CACGUAGGCGGGAUGGCAAGUCGGUCGUGAAAUCCCUCGGCUCAACCGAGGAGCGUCGAUCGAAACUGCCGUUCUUGAGGGUUGCAGAGGAGACUGGAAUUCCCGGUGUAGCGGUGAAAUGUGUAGAGAUCGGGAGGAACACCGGUGGCGAAGGCGGGUCUCUGGGCAAUUCCUGACGCUGAGGCGCGAAAGCGUGGGGAGCAAACGGGAUUAGAUACCCCGGUAGUCCACGCUGUAAACGAUGACGACUAGGUGUGGGGGGGUUCAGUCCCUUCCGUGCCGCAGCUAACGCAUUAAGUCGUCCGCCUGGGGAGUACGGCCGCAAGGUUGAA